ensembl:lncRNA
GAGAGCCAAGCAGAAAGACGUCACUGCAGGAAACAAUUUUUCGGUGAAAGAAAAUGAGGACAGAAUAAAUGUCCCGGUGGUGGAUUGGCCAGAUGCAGGUCGAUGUGUAAAAAUAACUCAGUUGUUUGGUGGUGGCUAUGGCGGGGCUUCCACAGAGGCCAGCAGGUGGAUGAGGGAAGGGGAGGCAGGAGGAGAGCCCCGAGGCAGCCACCAGUCCGAGUGUCAGGUGAACUGAACUUCAGGUAAGAAGUUAUGAGCUGCAGUCUCUCUGGGUCAGAUAUAAACUAAGUUUAGGUGGAGUUUAUUUUCGUUGUGCUGACUUUUUACCCUCAGUUGCAAUAACUCGUACUGUGUUCUAGCCAGCUUGACGGAGUUUUUAUACAGCUGGGUGGUGCUAUGAUGUUACUGAUAGUGAACUUUAUUUUAUUCAUAAGGUUAGUAGAGUUGCCAACGGCUCCUUAAAAAAAUGGAAUGGUCCGUCAUUCAGAGAAAAUAUUACACGUUUCGUAUUGAGCUGAGAAGAGACGCAGUUUGUCCCGGACUUUCGCUAUAAUGAAAAAAAGACACAAAGCUG